AAUAGAGAUGUUAGUUACCUAGUAAUGCGCACAGUGAAGAAAUAAAAGCUUCGUACCGUUGAUAAUUUUAGAAUUAAAAUGUUUAAGUAGACACGAGACCUUGAAAUUUUUAGAUCUGAGCCAAUCCAAUGAAUUAUUAUAGGCAGUGCUAUCCAAAAGCGAUUUCUCAACAGAAAUUCGUUUCAAAGGGCUAAAAGAUACGACUUCUUCAUUUUUCCUUUUACCAAGGAUAGAACUCAUGACUAUUUGACGAUAUCAGUACUGAUACUGGCGGUUAUCGUCUAUUUGACUCCUUAAUACCCUUAGGGAUAGAAUAUGGCUCUGAGAAGGACGAAUGUCGACGAUUCCUACAAAGAAGGGUUUGAAAUCAAAAGAACUUUACUUAGACUCCUAUUUUUUACUCAGAAUU